UAGGAUAUAAUUGGGAUCAAAAGGAACCUUUGUUGGAUUCUUUUCUUGAUACAGACGGUGAAAUCCUGAAUAGUGAUGCAGAAGAGGCAUGAAAUGUCAACAACAGUUUGUAUCCUAUAUUUGGAAUGAAGCAAGAACAUGCAUGCAGGAGGCAGAUUUUGACAGAAUUGAGUGUUCACCAGUUAGGGAAAAAAAAAGAGGAAGAAUUGACUUGCACAGGACUCAUGUUUUCUCCUCUGCUCUCCUCACCACUUCUCCAACUCACUUGCUCCCUGCUGCUGGAAGAUUCUGCUUGUUAGUCACAGAGACUUUCCCAAAGUCAAGGCCCAUCUGUAUGAUCUGUGCAUUGCACAAACAAAUGGUGAGAGUUAUCAUUAAAAAUUUUGUAAUUUAUACAAACAAGAACAGCUGGUGAGGAAUUGGAACCACAUCUAAACAUAAUAUAUAGGAAGAGUUACCAAUAAAGCCUUGAUCUCUCCAUUUACA
rnacentral:lncRNA from 1 species